rnacentral:rRNA from 1 species
CCAGACUCCUACGGGAGGCAGCAGUGGGGAAUAUUGCACAAUGGGGGAAACCCUGAUGCAGCGACGCCGCGUGAGUGAGGAAGUAUUUCGGUAUGUAAAGCUCUAUCAGCAGGGAAGAAAAUGACGGUACCUGACUAAGAAGCCCCGGCUAACUACGUGCCAGCAGCCGCGGUAAUACGUAGGGGGCAAGCGUUAUCCGGAUUUACUGGGUGUAAAGGGAGCGUAGACGGCAGCACAAGUCUGGAGUGAAAUCCUGGGGCUUAACCCCGGAACUGCUUUGGAAACUGUGCGGCUGGAGUGCAGGAGGGGUAAGCGGAAUUCCUAGUGUAGCGGUGAAAUGCGUAGAUAUUAGGAGGAACACCGGUGGCGAAGGCGGCUUACUGGACUGUAACUGACGUUGAGGCUCGAAAGCGUGGGGAGCAAACAGGAUUAGAUACCCCCGUAAGC